rnacentral:rRNA from 1 species
CAGUUGACGCUGAAGUUGGUACUUGUACCGACUGGAUGAGCAGCGAACGCCGUAAAACGCGUGGGGAAUCUGCCUUUGAGCGGGGGACAACCUUUGGAAACGAAUGCUAAUACCGCAUAAAAACUUUAAACACAAGUUUUAAGUUUGAAAGAUGCAAUUGCAUCACUCAAAGAUGAUCCCGCGUUGUACUAGCUAGUUGGUGAGGUAAAAGCUCACCAAGGCGAUGAUACAUAGCCGACCUGAGAGAAUGAUCGGCCACAUUGGGACUGAGACACGGCCCAAACUCCUACGGGAGGCAGCAGUAGGGAAUCUUCGGCAAUGGACGAAAGUCUGACCGAGCAACGCCGCGUGAGUGAAGAAGGUUUUCGGAUCGUAAAACUCUGUUGGUAGAGAAGAACGUUGGUGAGAGUGGAAAGCUCAUCAAGUGACGGUAACUACCCAGAAAGGGACGGCUAACUACGUGCCAGCAGCCGCGGUAAUACGUAGGUCCCGAGCGUUGUCCGGAUUUAUUGGGCGUAAAGCGAGCGCAGGUGGUUUAUUAAGUCUGGUGUAAAAGGCAGUGGCUCAACCAUUGUAUGCAUUGGAAACUGGUAGACUUGAGUGCAGGAGAGGAGAGUGGAAUUCCAUGUGUAGCGGUGAAAUGCGUAGAUAUAUGGAGGAACACCGGUGGCGAAAGCGGCUCUCUGGCCUGUAACUGACACUGAGGCUCGAAAGCGUGGGGAGCAAACAGGAUUAGAUACCCUGGUAGUCCACGCCGUAAACGAUGAGUGCUAGAUGUAGGGAGCUAUAAGUUCUCUGUAUCGCAGCUAACGCAAUAAGCACU